rnacentral:tRNA from 1 species
GCCCGAGUAGCUCAGUGGCAGAGCGCCCGCCUUGUAAGCGGGAGGACGGCGGCCCGCACCCGCCCUCGGGCUCCA